GACGAACGCUGGCGACGUGCUUAACACAUGCAAGUCGAACGAUGAAGCCUUAGCUUGCUUUGGUGGAUUAGUGGCGAACGGGUGAGUAACACGUGAGCAACGUGCCCAGGACUCUGGAAUAACCGCGGGAAACCGUGGCUAAUACCGGAUAGGUGCCGAGGCCGCAUGGUCUUCGGUUGGAAAGUUUUUGCGGUUCUGGAUCGGCUCACGGCCUAUCAGCUUGUUGGUGGGGUAAUGGCCUACCAAGGCGACGACGGGUAGCCGGCCUGAGAGGGUGACCGGCCACACUGGGACUGAGACACGGCCCAGACUCCUACGGGAGGCAGCAGUGGGGAAUAUUGCACAAUGGGCGCAAGCCUGAUGCAGCAACGCCGCGUGGGGGAUGACGGCCUUCGGGUUGUAAACCUCUUUUAGUAGGGAAGAAGCGCAAGUGACGGUACCUGCAGAAAAAGCACCGGCUAACUACGUG
rnacentral:rRNA from 1 species